GAUGGAAUCAGCGUUUGUACAGGUGGACACAGUAAAGUCGCUUGCCUUCCCCAAUGUGAGUGGGCGUCAUCCAGUCCGUUGGGGGCCUGAAUAAAACAAAAGGCAGAAGUGGCAUGAUCGGCUCACUGCAACCUCCGCCUCACGGGUUCAAGCGAUUCUCCUGCCUCAGCCUCCCGCGUAGCUGGGACUACAGAUGCAUGCCACCACGCCCAGCUAAUAUUUUAAUUUUUAGUAGAGAUGGGGUUUCACCAUGUUGGCCAGGAUGGUCUUAAUCUCGUGACCUCGUGAUCUGC
rnacentral:lncRNA from 1 species